GACGAACGCUGGCGGCGUGCUUAACACAUGCAAGUCGAACGGGAGUAUCAAAGAAGCUUGCUUUUAAGAUACUUUAGUGGCGGACGGGUGAGUAACGCGUGAGGAGCUGUCCUAUGCAGGGGGACAACAGUUGGAAACGACUGCUAAUACCCCAUAAGCCGAGAGGUAAAAGGAUUUAUCCGGCAGAGGAGGUACUCGCGUCCUAUCAGCUAGUAGGUGAGGUAACGGCUCACCUAGGCGAAGACGGGUAGCCGGCCUGAGAGGGCGAACGGCCACACUGGAACUGAGAUACGGUCCAGACUCCUACGGGAGGCAGCAGUGGGGAAUAUUGGGCAAUGGGGGCAACCCUGACCCAGCGACGCCGCGUGGGUGAAGAAAUCCUUCGGGAUGUAAAGCCCUGUUGUAUGGGAAGAGCAGAAGACGGUACCAUACGAGGAAGCCCCGGCAAACUACGUGCCAGCAGCCGCCGUAA
rnacentral:rRNA from 1 species